GAUGAACGCUAGCGGCAGGCCUAACACAUGCAAGUCGAGGGGUAACAGGGUAGCAAUAUCGCUGACGACCGGCGCACGGGUGAGUAACACGUAUGCAACCUUCCUUUAACUGGGGGAUAGCCCGGAGAAAUUCGGAUUAAUACCCCAUAAUAUCACAGAAAGGCAUCUUUUUGUGAUUAAAGCUCCGGCGGUUAAAGAUGGGCAUGCGUACCAUUAGCUAGUUGGUGAGGUAACGGCUCACCAAGGCAACGAUGGUUAGGGGGUCUGAGAGGAUGAUCCCCCACACUGGUACUGAGACACGGACCAGACUCCUACGGGAGGCAGCAGUGAGGAAUAUUUGGCAAUGGGCGCAAGCCUGACCCAGCCAUGCCGCGUGAAGGAUGAAUGCCCUAUGGGUUGUAAACUUCUUUUGUACGGGACGAAACUCCUGGUCGUGACCGGGAUUGACUGUACCGUGCGAAUAAGCAUCGGCUAACUCCGUGCCAGCCGCCGCCGUAAUAC
rnacentral:rRNA from 1 species